GGGGAUGUAGCUCAAUUAAUUGGCAGAGUGUUUGCCUAGCAUGUACAAAGCCCUGGGUUCAAUACCCAGCAGUACCA
rnacentral:tRNA from 1 species